rnacentral:rRNA from 1 species
CAGAGACUGCAAGCGUUAUUCGGAUUCACUGGGCGUAAAGGGUGCGCAGGCGGUUGGGUGUGUCAGAUGUGAAAUCCCGAGGCUUAACCUCGGAACUGCGUCUGAAACUACUCGACUAGAGUAUUGGAGUGGGUAACGGAAUUCACGGUGUAGCAGUGAAAUGCGUAGAUAUCGUGAGGAACACCAGAGGCGAAGGCGGUUACCUGGACAAUUACUGACGCUCAGGCACGAAAGCAUGGGGAGCAAAAGGGAUUAGAUACCCCUGUAGUCCAUGCCCUAAACGGUGCACACUAGGUCUUAGCGGAUUCGACCCCACUAGGGCCCAAGCUAACGCGUUAAGUGUGCCGCCUGAGGACUACGGUCGCAAGACUA